AGAGGACAAGAGAAGCUUGCUUCUUUUGGAAUCGAGUGGCAAACGGGUGAGUAACACGUAAACAACCUGCCUUCAGGAUGGGGACAACAGACGGAAACGACUGCUAAUACCGCAUGACACAUUGGGGUCGCAUGGCCCUGAUGUCAAAGAUUUAUCGCUUCAAGAUGGCCUCGCGUCUGAUUAGCUAGUUGGCGGGGUAACGGCCCACCAAGCCGACGAUAUCUAGGGGUUCUGAGAGGAAGGUCCCCCACAUUGGAACUGAGACACGGUCCAAACUCC
rnacentral:rRNA from 1 species